GCGUUCCGGACCCAUCACGGCCACUUCGAGUUCUUGGUGAUGCCCUUUGGCCUCUCCAACGCCCCGACGACAUUUCAGGCCUUGAUGAACGAUGUCCUCCGGCCCUACUUACGUCGGUUUGUGCUCGUUUUCUUUGAUGACAUUCUUAUCUACAGUGCCUCUUGGGCAGAGCACCUCCAGCAUGUGGCCAUCGUCUUCAACGAGCUUCGGGCGCAUCAUCUUCAUCUUAAGCGCUCGAAGUGCUCGUUUGGGACACCUUCGGUCGCUUACCUCGACCACGUCAUCUCGGCCGAGGAUGUGGCCAUGGACGCCGACAAGGUGGCGGCCGUCGCCGCCUGGCCCAUUCUGCAGUCUCCGCGGGCUCUUCGCGGGUUCCUUGGUCUUGCCGGGUACUAUCGGAAGUUCAUCCGGGAGUUUGGCCUUAUCGCGGCCCCGCUCACGCGUCUCCUCCGUCGCGACGCCUUCUCUUGGGAUGCGGAGGCCACUUCAGCAUUCGAGGCCCUCAACGGGGCCCUCACGACGGGACCCGUACUGCAGAUGCCGGACUUCGACCUCCCCUUCACCGUCGACUGCGACGCUUCCGGUGCGGGGUUUGGUGUGGUCCUGCACCAGGGCGAUGGACCCCUCGCCUUCUUCAGCCGCCCCUUUGCUGCUCGCCAUCUUAAAUUGGCGGUGUAUGAGCGUGAGCUCAUUGGGUUGGUGUAA
rnacentral:rRNA from 1 species